UACGAAGGGGGCUAGCGUUGUUCGGAGUUACUGGGCGUAAAGGGCGCGUAGGCGGCCCUCCAAGUCGGGUGUGAAAGCCCACGGCUCAACCGUGGAAUUGCACUCGAGACUGAAGGGCUCGAGGACGGGAGAGGAUGGUGGAAUUCCCAGUGUAGAGGUGAAAUUCGUAGAUAUUGGGAAGAACACCGGUGGCGAAGGCGGCCAUCUGGACCGUAUCUGACGCUGAGGCGCGAAAGCCAGGGGAGCAAACGGG
rnacentral:rRNA from 1 species